rnacentral:rRNA from 1 species
GGUCUGCCCCCGGGCAGGCCUAACCUCCCACCCGUGAAUACCUGACCAACGUUGCUUCGGCGGUGCGCCCCCCCGGGGGUAGCCGCCGGAGACCACACCGAACCUCCUGUCUUUAGUGUUGUCUGAGCUUGAUAGCAAACCUAUUAAAACUUUCAACAAUGGAUCUCUUGGUUCCGGCAUCGAUGAAGAACGCAGCGAACUGCGAUAAGUAAUGUGAAUUGCAGAAUUCAGUGAAUCAUCGAGUCUUUGAACGCACAUUGCGCCCCCUGGCAUUCCGGGGGGCAUGCCUGUCCGAGCGUCAUUGCUGCCCUUCAAGCCCGGCUUGUGUGUUGGGUCGUCGUCCCCCCCGGGGGACGGGCCCGAAAGGCAGCGGCGGCACCGCGUCCGGUCCUCGAGCGUAUGGGGCUUUGUCACCCGCUCGAUUAGGGCCGGCCGGGCGCCAGCCGGCGUCUCCAACCUUCUAUUUUACCAGGUUGACCUCGGAUCAGGUAGGGAUACCCGCUGAACUUAAGCAUAUCAAUAA